CUUCCCAACAUAACAUUUUAUGGCCAAGGCUGGAUUCCCCUUUAAAAUAUAUACGGGACUGGUGCCUGAUCUUAAUGCCCUGUUCACCCGCAGUUUAAGGAACUUGCCCAGAAGGCAAUCCGGCAGGUACAUAACUCACAAGGGCUCUAAAAACACCAGGCCUAAGCUAAACCCUAACAAAGAAACAACUUACGAAAGAGAACUAAACAUGAAUGUUUAAACCUAUAGUUACACAAAAAAUCAUAUGAGAAAAAAAUCAAUGAGCAAAUAAAUGUGUUGUAAGCAAAGAUUUAUUUCUUUCAUAAUCACGUGCUUGAAUUUUCCCCUCCUAAAGCUUGGCAUGGAGGUUUGGAUAAAAAGCUCAAUUUUUUAACUGCUCCUCGAAUAGCUGGGUAACUGAUGAACUAGAUCGAAAAGGUGCUUUCAUCGGCCGUUUUCCUCGAGUCACCCAUGACUAAUCAUCAGCCGGAAAGGAGGCUUUCUCCAACCGUUGACCAAUAUUAUGGCCCCAGUAUCCGAUUAACAGAACUAAUUGAGGAAAGCAUCCGGGCUUUAUAAUAAUACCAUGCAUUCCUUUACUAAAAUCAAAUGUUGUUAAAGAUAAAAGAAAAUAGUAUAAACUUAUUUUCUUUUUUUCUUUUUUUGAUAUAUAUUUAAGAAAAGAAGGGAUACAAAAAACCUAACAAUUCAUGCCAUUCUUCAAGAGGAAAACUUAGCUUAACGUGAUUUCCAAAAGUGCUAAUUGUUAAUUUACUUAACGUUAUUAAAGGGUUUUACUGGACGGCGGCGGUGGCGGCGGCGGUGUCGUCAACACUGAAAUCUUAACCAUGGUUAAGUUUUUGAAAUGUUAUCAGAACAUAGAAAGUCUUUGGAACUAGUCCAUGAAACUUAGACAUGAGAGUAAUCAAGUACCAUUGAACAUUCUGAGUUCCAGGUCACAUGACCAAGGUCAUUGAGGGUCAGUGAACGUAGACCAUGUUGGGUGAAUCAUUAUAGAAAUCUUAACAAAGGUUAAGUUUUAGAAAUGUCGUCAUAACUUAAAAAGGUAUAAGGAACCUAGUUCAUGAAACUUAGACAUAACAGUAAUGGUGUAUCACUAAAGAUCAUGCCUUGAUCCUGAGUUUCAGGUAACAUAAAUAGGCCAAAGGUCACGUAGGGUCAAAGAACUUUGACCAUGUUGGGGGUAUUUGUGGAAUUGUCAUCAUAACUGAAAAGUUUAGGGAUGUAGUUCAUGAAACUUGGACAUAAGAACAAUCAAGUAUCCAUGAACAUCAUGCGAGUUUCGGGUCACACGACCAAGAUCAAAGGUCAUAGGGUGAAGGAACAUUGCAUGCCCAUGUUGGGGGAAUUUAUUGAAUUGCCAUCAUAACUUUGAACGUAUACUUUUAAGACAUAUAUGUAUCUAUAUAGUUCACGAAACUAUUAGAUAUAUGAGUAAUCAAGUAUCAUUGAAAAUCCUGCAUGAGAUACAGAUCACAUGACCAAGGUAAAAGGACAUAUAGAGUCAAUGCAUGGACGUAGUGUUUUAUUAUUUCAUUAUUCACGCCUGAUAAAUGAGAAUCGUUAAGCUAUUCGAAUCGUGCGUUUUUUCGUGGCUUUUAUUCAACAUUAUUUAAUGUCAGUUUUACAUGCCUCAUUUUCCAUGGUAAUACAUGAAUACACAUUAAUAUCAUGAAUCUUGUAAUUGUAAAACCCACAUGAAUUCACAUCAUAUCAUGAAUAUUGUAAUUGUAAAGUCAGGGUAACACAAAUACAGAACUAGUGCUGAAAUCUAUGCUGAAAAAUGAGGAAUUAUGUGAAUGAAUGCAAUCUGCACCCCAUACAUAAACCUUGAAUCAAAAUAUGUGAAAACCAAGUAAGUAGCCAGAGAAGGGUUAACCCACGGCUAGAACCCCCCUCACAAAC
rnacentral:lncRNA from 1 species